ACAGCUCAGUGGUAGAGCAUCUGCUUUGCAUGCAGAAGGCCACAGGUUCAAUGCCCAUCAUCUCUG